AUUGAACGCUGGCGGCAGGCUUAACACAUGCAAGUCGAGCGAGCGGCGGACGGGUGAGUAAUGCCUGGGAUACUGCCUGCCGGAGGGGGAUAACUACUGGAAACGGUAGCUAAUACCGCAUACCAUCAGAUGUGCCCCGAUGGGUUUAGAUAGGGGUUGGGGUAACGGCGCACCUAGGCGACGAUCCCUAGCUGGUCUGAGAGGAUGACCGGCAAAACUGGAACUGGAACACGGUCAGAACUCCUACGGAGGGAAGAGGUGGGGAGUAUUGGACAAUGGGGGAAGGCCUAAGACAGCCAUGCCGGGUGUGUAAAACGGGCCUUCGGGUUGUAAGGCACUUUCAGCGGGGCGGCGUUACCCGCAGAGAAAGCACCGGCUAACUCCGUGCCAGCAGCCGCGGUAAUUC
rnacentral:rRNA from 1 species